rnacentral:rRNA from 1 species
AUUGAACGCUGGCGGCAGGCCUAACACAUGCAAGUCGAACGGUAACAGGAAGCAGCUUGCUGCUUUUCUGACGAGUGGCGGACGGGUGAGUAAUGUCUGGGAAACUGCCUGAUGGAGGGGGAUAACUACUGGAAACGGUAGCUAAUACCGCAUAACGUCGCAAGCCCAAAGAGGGGGACCUUCGGGCCUCUUGCCAUCGGAUGUGCCCAGCUGGGAUUAGCUAGUAGGUGGGGUAACGGCUCACCUAGGCGACGAUCCCUAGCUGGUCUGAGAGGAUGACCAGCCACACUGGAACUGAGACACGGUCAAGACUACUACGGGAGGCAGCAGUGGGGAAUAGUGCACAAUGGGCGCAAGCAUGAUGCAGCCAGGCCGCGUGUAUGAAGAAGGCCUUCGGGUUGUAAAGUACUUUCAGCGGGGAGGAAGGGAGUAAAGUUAAUACCUUGGCUGAUUGACGUUACCCGCAGAAGAAGCACCGGCUAACUCCGUG